UACGAAGGGUGCAAGCGUUACUCGGAAUUACUGGGCGUAAAGCGUGCGUUAGGCGGUUUGUUAAGUCCGUUGUGAAAGCCCUGGGCUCAACCUGGGAAUUGCAGUGGAUACUGGCGAGCUAGAGUGCGGUAGAGGAUGGUGGAAUUCCCGGUGUAGCGGUGAAAUGCGUAGAGAUCGGGAGGAACACCCGUGGCGAAGGCGGCCAUCUGGACCAGCACUGACGCUGAGGCACGAAAGCGUGGGGAGCAAACAGG
rnacentral:rRNA from 1 species